GGGGCAGUAGCUCAGUGCUAGAGCUCAUGCUUCUUAUGCGGGAAGACCUGGGUUCGAUUUCCGGCUGCUCCC
rnacentral:tRNA from 1 species